rnacentral:sRNA from 1 species
AUUUUUUUUUCCUUAAGAACUCCAAGCUAAGAACCUACCAUUGCAUCACCA